GCCUGGGCUGGUAUUAAACGUGGAGGACAAGAGCUGCAGAGCUGGAACCGUGCUGAGCACAGCCUUCCCAGGAACUGCAGGGGAAGCUCAGCACAGAGAUCCUUCUUACUCCAGUAAAUCUGCUGGUAUCACCAGGAUUUCUCCGGAGAGGAAUGGUGUGCAGCACUGGGGCAUUUAUUGCAGGCCUUUCAAACCGUGAGAUAAAGCAGUUGGCUUCCUCUUCCAGUGCACGAGGCCUCCUGCCACGCUUAUUUAUUUAUUUAGCACUGGGCUUCAACUGAGAAGGGGAAGACUUUAAUACUCCCAUCUGAUAUCAAAGAUGAAGGCAAGCUAAGAACAUACCUCUAACAGGAAUACAAGACUUCCUGUAGACUUCCUGCCACAGGGAAAUUAGUUUCCUACAGUGGUAUAAAGCUCUUGAACCUAAUCAAAGAUAAAACUCUGUUAAAGAAUUGUCUCCACGCAACAGAACAUUUCAAAAGCUGUAAAUAAACAAUACAAAGCAGAACAACACUCACUGUGCACAGACUCCAUCUUCUCACAAAAAGACAGCUUUUUAUUUUGACAAAAAAUAACAAGACAUUUUCACACAAAUAUUGCAGUAAAAAAAAAAAAAUCCUUUCUCCUAGCUGUUUGCAUUCAGUGAGACUCUGCCCUCUGCAUGCGUUUGGCUGGGAUUCCUUUGCCAACAAAUGGUAAUCCCCCUGCAUGAAGCACUGCACCGAGAACCAGCAGAGCCAUGGGCCUGAGCACAGACACACAGAGAAGGAAGAAGGAGGGGGAGGACAAGAAGAAAUCCUCGUGGCAUUCAAAACCUUUGCUUUCAAAUGGUGCAAAGAGAUUUGGAAGGAAAAAAAAACCUUGGGCUGACAGCUGCCGCUUCUUGGAGGAACUCCUGAUCUGCAGAAAGGAUGCAGCCGCUCUGCACAGAGCUCUGGGAGUCCUUUCACCUGAUUCCUGCUACAGGCACCUGCUGCUGCUUGCGGAUCUUGUUGAACAGCUCCAUGUACUGAACCAUUGUGUCCGCGGGGCUGUAGAUGCUGUCAUGUUUGGUGCCAAACACAGACGGGAUGCCGGGAGUGUGGCUCCCCAUGAAGCUCUGCAUGAACUCCAUCAGCAGGUUCCAGCAGUCGUUGGCUAUCACACAAGGGCAGUAUUCCACCUGGCAACAGAAACCACAGCCCUGAAGCUCACUGCAGGGCCAUAACCACGCACAGGACAACGCACGUUCCUCUCUCUGCCUCACUGUUUUAAAUAUGAGAUAUGCAUCGAGAGUUUGAAGGCAGCAAGCAGCCCCUCUGUGCUGUGGCUGCAGAAGGAAAACAGUGCUCUUCUCUUUGAGAAUGUUGAGCAUAUAACAGCAGAAGGAUGGACAAACAUACGAACAGGACAUGCAGGGAAUAUGCAAGGCACCUCUUCAAAAGAGAAGAAAGGGAAAUUUACCCUGUAAGUUCGUUGGUCAUAUUAAAUCCCCUGUACUGGAAAAGCAAUGAUAAACUUCAUUCCCACAAGUUGGUAUAUUAACAGCUUAUGUGGCCAUGACUUCUUUCAGGUGUGUAAUGAUAAAGCCUUGGGAUUUAAGGACUUGCAGUUCCAGAUCAGAGAUUAUGUCCUAAAGGACACCCUGAAAACAAACUACUAAACCAAAGCAGAAGCAACCAGACUGCCAAGAAAAUCUGGUCCUGAACUCAAGCUUAGGGUAAAACAGGCUUCUCUUUAACCCCAGGUCAACAGCAGUGCUCACACUACUACUUUUGUGUUUAUUCCUGUGAAGCCACUUCUUAAUCCCAUCCCUGCUAGCUAGGAACACCAGCCCGGGUAGAUGCAGUGUCAUUAUUAAUUAUAGACCAGUUAAUAGGAUUUGUGUGUUUAGCAAGACAUGAGCUCAGAUUUUGAAAGAUCUUCCAACACCUAAUUCUCAGCUACCUUAAGGACUGCUAGGCACCAACACAUCUACAUGUCUGGAGCCCCACAUGCUCUACUUUGCCCUUCCUGUACCAGCACAGCCCAGCUCCUUGUGUUAAUCCAAGUCGUUUCUGAGCUGCUGAGGUUUGUCCAUAGCUUGAGUGCCUUGCACUCACACCUGCAACCAGCCAACCACCUCCAGGACCAUCCUGGGUCCUGCCACACAGGGUCCUGUGCACACAUACAUCUCCCUCUACAGCAUUCAAGGUUUGCUGCAGCCCAGCUUCCGCCCCAUCAGACACCCGACAGCAGCAGCCAUGCUGUGACUGAUGCUCUCGAGUCUCAUCAACAGCCACAGCACUGAGCAGAGCAUGGAAGCCAUCUGAUGAGAGGCUCUGAGCCCACACAGCACCCCACGGUGCAGCAAUCCAGGCCAGCACACCUGGGGCAGCACUGACGUCCGCAGCACACAGCGCUCUGAUGAGGAGUGAGCAGCUUUAGAGCCAAACCUGCGGCAGGAGGGCACCGUCUGCUCGGCCCAGCCACCGUCUGCACAAGGUCAGGAAAGAAAGCAAAACCCAAACCAGCAUUA